rnacentral:lncRNA from 1 species
GUGCAUUCACACGAUGCAUUUUCUUUUCUUAUCACCAAACUGUUUUGAAAGAUAAAAGUACUUCCUGAAUAUGUGGAUGGUGAGCCACGUGAAUGGAAGACAUGGAGAUAUGGACUGUUAACACCUUGUCAAACAUUUAUUGUCCCUUCCACCUCUAAACUUCUGUGAUAAUAGGUGAACAGGACCCACGUGGUGCAGAAUACUGCGAUACACACUGCGGAAUAAUUCAGUGCAGAACAACACGUGGAUUGCUCAGUACAACUUGUUCAUCACAUCCUCCUGUUCACUGAAGAAUUAUGGAAAUAUUCUCUGAGCUGCUUUCCUCCCUGCCCAACGAGUCAUCUCUGUGUGAAAGGCCAAGCUUAUAAAUCCUGGGACUGGGAGUUGGAGAGGGGAGACUGGAGAGAGUAGGAAGGUUUUGGUAUCAAGAUGAUGCUGGCCUCAUAAAUUGAGG